UGGUAUGGGUUGUUGUUGUUGCUGUUGCUGCAUGUGGCGUGUCAAGAGGUCUUCCAGGCGGUGUACCGAUGUGGCUAGUGCUUCAUUCUGAACCUGGUUCUGUUUUUGUUGGUUGAUGAAGGCUUUCAGACAUGCUCCCAAUGUAGUAAUUCUCUGAGCGUUUGACAUCGGAGAAGGGGCUCUGAAAAUUGUCACACCCGG
rnacentral:lncRNA from 1 species